rnacentral:rRNA from 1 species
GUGUCAGCAGCCGCGGUAAUACGAACCGUCCAAACGUUAUUCGGAAUUACUGGGUUUAAAGGGUACGUAGGCGGCGCUGUUAGUCGGGUGUGAAAGCCCUCGGCUCAACCGAGGAAUUGCGCCCGAUACUGCAGUGCUUGAGGGAGACAGAGGUAAGCGGAACUGAUGGUGGAGCGGUGAAAUGCGUUGAUAUCAUCAGGAACACCGGUGGCGAAAGCGGCUUACUGGGUCUCUUCUGACGCUGAGGUACGAAAGCCAGGGGAGCGAAGGGGAUUAGAUACCCCCGUAGUCCUGGCCGUAAACGUUGAGCACUUGAUCGAGGGGCCCCCCAUAGCCUCCCGGUCGUAGCGAAAGUGUUAAGUGCUCCACCUGGGGAGUAUGGUCGCAAGGCUGAA